rnacentral:rRNA from 1 species
UACAGAGGGGGCAAGCGUUGUUCGGAAUUACUGGGCGUAAAGGGCUCGUAGGCGGCCAACUAAGUCGGACGUGAAAUCCCCAGGCUCAACCUGGGAACUGCGUCCGAUACUGGAUGGCUUGAAUCCGGGAGAGGGAUGCAGAAUUCCAGGUGUAGCGGUGAAAUGCGUAGAUAUCUGGAGGAAUACCGGUGGCGAAGGCGGCAUCCUGGACCGACAUUGACGCUGAGGAGCGAAAGCUAGGGGAGCAAACGGG